GCCCAGGGCAGGCCUUGGGGUAUCUGCAGGUGGCAGUCUGUGUGUCCCAUUGCAGUUACAGUGCCACACGUGUCAUAAACUUACAGGUGGGGUUUCUGGCUGAAAAUGAAAAGUCCUGGGCCAACCAGUGCCCAGCAAGCCCUACUGACCCCCAUUACCCACCUCUUUUCACCCCUCCCCAUCCAGGGUUCAGGGUCCAGAUAAGAGGAGGAGAGAAGAGCUGAUGCAGAGGGCAGAGGCCGAGGAAACUGCCAGGGUCUCCUCCUGCCCAGCACCCGGCUCAGACGGUGGACAGGUGUGACCAGGAACAUCAGGGGCUGCUGGGCAUCGUCGGGCAGCACUGCCCUAAAGCCCGGGCAGCCUGGGCCUUUGGGCUGAACCCUGCCUUUUUUUUUUGUUUUUUAAGAUUUUAUUUAUUUAUUUGAGAGAGAGAGAGAGCACGAGCAGGGGGAGGGGCAGGAGAAGCUGACUCCCCGCUGAACAGGGAGCCCAAUGGAGACUGGAUCCCAGGACCCCGACAUCAUGACCUGAGCUGAAAGCAGACGCUUAAGUGACUGAGCCACCCAGCGCCCCUGGACCUGCGCCUAGAGGACCCUGCCUGGCCUCCUCCAGCCUCCCCUCAAGGCUGGGACCCUGGAGCGGGAGCGCGCUCCAAGGGGGACCUGGGACCCGUCCAGUGGCCCGGGGCCCUUCCUGUAGGCACCUUUUCACCAGAUCUGUCCUGGGGGGAGCCCCCCCGGUGUGCAUCCCAGGUGGCCAAGCAGUUUACCGGGAGGGGGUGGAGCUUGGAGCCGAGGGCCAGGCGCAUUCCGGUAUGGGGCGCGGCCCGCGGACCAGAAUGGAGCCCUGGGGGAGGGCCCGGGCCCGGGGCCCCGCGUUGGGAUGGAGCUGCCCUCGGAGCCCCCCCCCCCCGUGUCCCGCCGCGCACACCCGCGCUCGCGCAGGCCCCGGAGGGAUCCCCACCUGCUUUCCUCCCAUCUCCGGGUCCAGGCCGCGUCUCUUAUCCAAAACCUCGUACUCCUCUCUUCCUCGCAGAUUGAGCUCCUGCAGGAGGCGGGAAGACCGUCGGGGGCGCGGGGCCCGGCCUCUGCCUGCAGCCAGGGCGGGCUCCCCGGCGGCGGCGGCGCGCCCCCGGUGCGGUUACAGCGAGCAGCAGCCCCGCCCCUCCCGCCCGCAGCCAUCUCC
rnacentral:lncRNA from 12 species